UCUAAAAUGACAGAAAGAUGUGUAGGAUUUAAGCUCCUAAUAGGAAGGUAACCUUCUUUUAGAA
rnacentral:tRNA from 1 species